CUGCUGAACCUGGAAGGUGGGGAUGUUGAAGGUGCCUGGCCUGUGGCUGUGCACUAAGCUAGGGUGACUGUGAGCUUCCAGAGCUCGAAUGUCUGGAAGGAAGGGCGCGAGCUGGGUGCGUGUGAGUGUCCUGAUCAUGGACACAGAGCGUGGGGCCCCUUGGAGGGCUGGAACCCAGGUGGGGGAUGCCCGGGUGGUGGGACAGAGUGGGGCUGGAGGAGAGGGUCUGAGGAAUGUUCCGGCCACAGACACCCCAAGCCCAUGGGAGGUCAGGAGUUGGUCACAAGGAAGGUGAGGUGGGGAACAGAGCUGGGGCCCAGGGUCCUGAUUUGGGGUGAGAGGUGACGCCAUCCCCGAGGCAGAAAGACGGCCAGGGGAGGGGAGGAGGUGGGGAAAGCAGACGGACGGGGAGGCGGGGGGAGCCCAGGGCCAGGAGUGUCAGGGGCAGGCACUUGAGACAGAGGCACCCUGAGGUUUCCCAGCAGGCAAUUGAUACCCUGGCCUGCAGCGGGGAGGAACCGGGGCUGGGCUGGAGGCCUGGGGACGCCUGGGGCUGCCCCAAUUCCCAGCAGACACCUCACCCUCUGGGAAGCCCCAGCUGCCCCAGAUCCCUCCCACAAUGCUCUGACCACCCCCAACCCCCAAGUCCUCUCCCUUCUGUCCCCAAGCCCGAGGCCUUGGAGCUGCCCCCGCCCUGGGCCAUGAGAGCUGGACACAGAGCCCUCCAAGUUCCACGGGCCUCCUGCACCGCCGCCUGCUCCGCCCUCCUGCCCUCCCCCUCGGCCUCCCCUGUGAGGGCUGCCCACCUAGGUGACCCCGGAGCCGCCUCCUCACGCCUCCAUCUGCUCUGCACACCGUCCACUAGCCUGACAGCUGCCCAAAGCCUCCAGAGC
rnacentral:lncRNA from 1 species